CACAGGUUUACCUGUGUGACUGCGUACCUUUUGUAUAAUGGGUCAGCGACUUAUAUUCUGUAGCAAGGUUAACCGAAUAGGGGAGCCGGAGGGAAACCGAGUCUUAAUUGGGCGUUAAGUUGCAGGGUAUAGACCCGAAACCCGGUGAUCUAGCCAUGGGCAGGUUGAAGGUUGGGUAACACUAACUGGAGGACCGAACCGACUAAUGUUGAAAAAUUAGCGGAUGACCUGUGGCUGGGGGUGAAAGGCCAAUCAAACCGGGAGAUAGCUGGUUCUCCCCGAAAGCUAUUUAGGUAGCGCCUCGUGAAUUCAUCUCCGGGGGUAGAGCACUGUUUCGGCUAGGGGGCCAUCCCGGCUUACCAACCCGAUGCAAACUGCGAAUACCGGAGAAUGUUAUCACGGGAGACACACGGCGGGUGCUAACGUCCGUCGUGAAGAGGGAAACAACCCAGACCGCCAGCUAAGGUCCCAAAGUCAUGGUUAAGUGGGAAACGAUGUGGGAAGGCCCAGACAGCCAGGAUGUUGGCUUAGAAGCAGCCAUCAUUUAAAGAAAGCGUAAUAGCUCACUGGUCGAGUCGGCCUGCGCGGAAGAUGUAACGGGGCUAAACCAUGCACCGAAGCUGCGGCAGCGACACUGUGUGUUGUUGGGUAGGGGAGCGUUCUGUAAGCCUGUGAAGGUGUGUCGUGAGGCAUGCUGGAGGUAUCAGAAGUGCGAAUGCUGACAUAAGUAACGAUAAAGCGGGUGAAAAGCCCGCUCGCCGGAAGACCAAGGGUUCCUGUCCAACGUUAAUCGGGGCAGGGUGAGUCGACCCCUAAGGCGAGGCCGAAAGGCGUAGUCGAUGGGAAACGGGUUAAUAUUCCCGUACUUGGUGUUACUGCGAAGGGGGGACGGAGAAGGCUAUGUUGGCCGGGCGACGGUUGUCCCGGUUUAAGCGUGUAGGUGUGUGUUCCAGGUAAAUCCGGUUCACUUUAACACUGAGGCGUGACGACGAGGCACUACGGUGCUGAAGCAACAAAUGCCCUGCUUCCAGGAAAAGCCUCUAAGCAUCAGGUAACAUCAAAUCGUACCCCAAACCGACACAGGUGGUCAGGUAGAGAAUACCAAGGCGCUUGAGAGAACUCGGGUGAAGGAACUAGGCAAAAUGGUGCCGUAACUUCGGGAGAAGGCACGCUGACACGUAGGUGAAGUGAUUUACUCAUGGAGCUGAAGUCAGUCGAAGAUACCAGCUGGCUGCAACUGUUUAUUAAAAACACAGCACUGUGCAAACACGAAAGUGGACGUAUACGGUGUGACGCCUGCCCGGUGCCGGAAGGUUAAUUGAUGGGGUCAGCGCAAGCGAAGCUCCUGAUCGAAGCCCCGGUAAACGGCGGCCGUAACUAUAACGGUCCUAAGGUAGCGAAAUUCCUUGUCGGGUAAGUUCCGACCUGCACGAAUGGCGUAAUGAUGGCCAGGCUGUCUCCACCCGAGACUCAGUGAAAUUGAACUCGCUGUGAAGAUGCAGUGUACCCGCGGCAAGACGGAAAGACCCCGUGAACCUUUACUAUAGCUUGACACUGAACAUUGAGCCUUGAUGUGUAGGAUAGGUGGGAGGCUUUGAAGUGUGGACGCCAGUCUGCAUGGAGCCGACCUUGAAAUACCACCCUUUAAUGUUUGAUGUUCUAACGUGGACCCGUUACCCGGGUUGCGGACAGUGUCUGGUGGGUAGUUUGACUGGGGCGGUCUCCUCCUAAAGAGUAACGGAGGAGCACGAAGGUUGGCUAAUCCUGGUCGGACAUCAGGAGGUUAGUGCAAUGGCAUAAGCCAGCUUGACUGCGAGCGUGACGGCGCGAGCAGGUGCGAAAGCAGGUCAUAGUGAUCCGGUGGUUCUGAAUGGAAGGGCCAUCGCUCAACGGAUAAAAGGUACUCCGGGGAUAACAGGCUGAUACCGCCCAAGAGUUCAUAUCGACGGCGGUGUUUGGCACCUCGAUGUCGGCUCAUCACAUCCUGGGGCUGAAGUAGGUCCCAAGGGUAUGGCUGUUCGCCAUUUAAAGUGGUACGCGAGCUGGGUUUAGAACGUCGUGAGACAGUUCGGUCCCUAUCUGCCGUGGGCGCUGGAGAACUGAGGGGGGCUGCUCCUAGUACGAGAGGACCGGAGUGGACGCAUCACUGGUGUUCGGGUUGUCAUGCCAAUGGCACUGCCCGGUAGCUAAAUGCGGAAGAGAUAAGUGCUGAAAGCAUCUAAGCACGAAACUUGCCCCGAG
rnacentral:rRNA from 1 species